UAGCUCAGUCAGUAGAGCAUGGGACUCUUAAUCCCAGGGUCGUGGGUUCGUGCCCCAU
rnacentral:tRNA from 1 species